CAUACCAAGUUCCAGCUGUAUCGCUUUCAAUAACAAAUGGUUAUAAGUGUUCUGUGAUCCACACUGAUCGCUGCAGAGGCAGUGGAGGUGACAGGGUGAUAGCAGAAAACAUCGAGAUAGCAUGUGAUAAGGUGGUGGAGGCAGCGCAGAGGGUUCAGCGACUCAGCUACGGUCCCUAAAAUAUUUAGGGACCGUAACUCAGCAGUGCGACCGUCGAUUCGCCGGUUUUGACAGCGAAUGGGAACUUUCAGUUGCUACAUUUCUCCGCGGGAUAUCUACCUCGGUACAUGGUAGCGCAGGCACUGCGGUGAUUUUUGCGAUUAGGUUUGUGAGUCUUCUGCUGGCUGACUUUUUCUCCGAAGCCGUCGACCGAGCGCGCAGGGCGCCCAGCUUUUUCAGGGAUGGGCAAAGAUGAACCGGUGCCUUGCUCGGUCAUCGGGUGUAAACCCAGCGAUAGAAAAAGCGUCAAGACCCGGCAUCAGCUGCCUCGAGAUGAGGCCAUGAGGUCUGCUUGGCUGCAGCUCAUUGGCCUGCCAUCCACCGAUGCGCGGAAAAACAUUCGCGUUUGCGGUAGGCACUUCGCACGUUGCGCCUUCCUUUAUGACCCAGAGCUGAUGAAGGGCAUGGACGUCGGCUGGACACGUUUACGCCUGAAGCCAACUGCCCUGCCGACGUUGUUCCUUCCUGUCAGGCAGGCUCAGAUGUGCAGAUGCAUCCGGCCCGCUGUCCUGCACACUGUUGGAACUCAAAAGACUGCCAUUACCACCGCUGCUGCUGCUACGGAAACCACACAAAAGAAGGUGCAGAACAGAAAUACUGUGGUCCCCUACUCCAUGUGGAAGUGAUCCCCAAGUGUCAGCGCCCUGUAGAGGCUCGUGCCGUCAGUUCUAUUUUCGGAAGUCAGCAUGGAGGCUUGCAGCUGAAUGCGAUCAAACCGUUCGGUUUCUUGGAGACAAUUCGACACAUCUGUGAAGGCUGCCAAAAGAGCCCCCUGCGCUGGCGAUAGGCCAAGGGCACAGAUGGCUACCUGUGCCCGUUUGAGGCCGACACUUUGGCUGAGGACCUCUCUUCCGGCGACUCAUCAGUGGCAGACAGCUCCUUCGACGAUUCGUUCUCAUCGUCUUGUUCCCGUGAAAACAUCAGUGCACACUGCUGCCACUCAAGCACCCAUUGCGACAACUGAUUGCGGGAUGCUGCCUUAAAAGAGAGAGAAAAAAAGAACUCCAUUGCAAGAAUAAGCACGCUUCUGUAGUUUUAACAGAGCCAUAAUAAAGCUGCUAUAUUUCACUUGUUUCUGUGCUGUAAUGGCAUCAUUGUUUUAUGCAGCCAAUUCAGCACACUACCUGAGCACUCUGAAAUGACCACUUGAAUCUCCUUAUUCACUAAAGCAGGGUACAGUGCCUUUUGUGAAACUUCCUAACUUGCGCAUAUAAGUUCAUUUUGUGUAGGGACAAGUAAGGCCACUUAUACGUGCAUUCAUGCCACAAUGCUGUAACGGAGCAUCUUUGACGAAUGUGACAAAUCAUUUUAAUAAGUGCGCUCAUGAAAAUACUGGUGCACUGUUUGACUUUAUCACAUGGCAUUUUGAAGCUCUUGGAGAUAAUUGUCCCAAACAACAAAGGUGCUGUCAAUGCCACCAAGUGCUGCUCAUUUCUGUGCCUUCUUCAGAGCCGUAUUUUUUAUAGCUUUACAUAUACUUGCCUUUGCAACAAAGUCCUUGUGUUUUGUCAGUUGCACCAUUACCUAGGAAGCUGUAUUUAAAAGA
rnacentral:misc_RNA from 1 species